AUUGAACGCUGGCGGCAUGCCUUACACAUGCAAGUCGAACGGUAACAGGUCUUCGGAUGCUGACGAGUGGCGAACGGGUGAGUAGUACAUCGGAACGUGCCUAGUAGUGGGGGAUAACUACUCGAAAGAGUGGCUAAUACCGCAUGAGAUCUACGGAUGAAAGCAGGGGAUCGCAAGAACUUGUGCUACCAGAGCGGCCGAUGGCAGAUUAGGGAGUUGGUGGUAUAAAAGCUUACCAAGCCGACGAUCUGUAGCUGGUCUGAGAGGACGAUCAGCCACACUGGGACUGAGACACGGCCCAGACUCCUACGGGAGGCAGCAGUGGGGAAUUUUGGACAAUGGGCGCAAGCCUGAUCCAGCAAUGCCGCGUGCAGGAUGAAGGCCUUCGGGUUGUAAACUGCUUUUGUACGGAACGAAAAGCCCCGGGUUAAUACCCUGGGGUCAUGACGGUACCGUAAGAAUAAGCACCGGCUAACUACGUGCCAGCAGCCGCCGUAA
rnacentral:rRNA from 1 species